AUUGAACGCUGGCGGCAGGCCUAACACAUGCAAGUCGAGCGAGCGGCGGACGGGGGAGUAAUGUAUGGGGAUCUGCCCGAUAGAGGGGGAUAACUCCUGGAAACGGUAGCUAAUACAGCAUAAUCUCGGCUGUACCCAUAGGGGAUUGUCUAGGAGGUGAGGUAAUGGGUCACCUAGGCGACGAUCCCUAGCUGGUCUGAGAGGAUGAUCAGCCACACUGGGACGGAGACAAGGCCCAGACUCCUACGGGAGGCAGCAGUGGGGAAUAUUGCACAAUGGGCGCAAGCCUGAUGCAGCCAUGCCGCGUGUGUGAAGAAGGCCUUCGGGUUGUAAAGCACUGUCAGCGAGGAGGCGUUACUCGCAGAAGAAGCACCGGCUAACUCCGUGCCAGCAGCCGCGGUAAUAC
rnacentral:rRNA from 1 species